rnacentral:rRNA from 1 species
UACGUAGGGGGCAAGCGUUGUCCGGAUUUAUUGGGCGUAAAGAGCGUGUAGGCGGCCAUACAGGUCAGCUGUGAAAACUCGAGGCUCAACCUCGAGACGUCGGUUGAAACCGUAUGGCUAGAGUCCGGAAGAGGAGAGUGGAAUUCCCGAUGUAGCGGUGAAAUGCGCAGAUAUCGGGAAGAACACCCGUGGCGAAGGCGGCUCUCUGGGACGGUACUGACGCUGAGACGCGAAAGCGUGGGGAGCGAACAGG